UACGUAGGGAGCAAGCGUUGUCCGGAAUCAUUGGGCGUAAAGCGCGCGUAGGUGGCUUCGUAAGUCCGUUGUGAAAGUCAAAGGCUCAACCUUUGAAAGCCGAUGGAUACUGUGAAGCUAGAGUACGGAAGAGGCGAGUGGAAUUCCUGGUGUAGCGGUGGAAUGCGCAGAUAUCAGGAGGAACACCAAUAGCGAAGGCAGCUCGCUGGGACGGUACUGACACUGAGGCGCGAAAGCGUGGGGAGCGAACAGG
rnacentral:rRNA from 1 species